ACGUAUAGGGGCAAAAGACUAAUUAAACCUUCUAGUAGCUAGUUUCUGCUAAAGUUUCCCUUAGGAUAGUAGUAUUAAACUUAGUUUUAUAAGGUAAAGUAAAUAAUUAGGGACUUAGAGGCGCUAUAUAGCCUUUAUCUAUUCUUAAACUUUAAAUAUAUAAGAAGCCCUUAUUACUUAAUUAAACGUAGGUAUUUAAAUAUAUUAACACUAGUAGGCUAUUUUUAGUAAGCAGAACUAGCGAUACAGGAUAAACUAAACGCGAGGUUAAGGUGCUAAAGUAGUUACUUAUUAGACACUACAAAAGGUGUUAGUACAUCUUAACAGUAAGAUAGUGGCUAUAGAAGUCAGAAUCCGCUAAGGACUAUAUAAUAACUUACCUACUAAAUAUACUAGCCCUAAAAAUAGAUGGCGCUUAAGUAACUUACCUAUACCUUACCCUUAGUGUAGAAAUAAUACGCUAAGGAGUAGGCAGACGUAGAGGUUAGUAAUAAAGCCUAGGGCGUAAGCCUAAGUAGAACAGCCUCUAGUGUAAAUCUUAGUAGUAGUAGUAAAUACUUUAAUAAGAACUUAAAGGACUAAAGUAGGGAAAGGUUCUAUAUAAAUAGCAGUUAGAUAUAGGUUAGUUAAUCCUAAGCUAUAGGGAAGUUCUGUUUUAAAGGGGUACUUAUGCCCUGUAUAGCAAAAGGGAAGCCGGUUAAUAUUCCAGCACCUAGAUGUGGGUUUUGCGCGGCAACGUAACUAAACGCGGAGACAAUAGCAGGGGCCUUAGGCAGAGUUCUCUUUUCUUCUUAACGGUCUAUUACCCUAAAAUUAGUUUGUCUAGAGCUAGGGUUUAACGGCUGGAAGAGCCUAGCACUUCUGUUAGGUCUAGUGUGCUCUUAACGUCUCUUAAAAAUCUGCAGGAAGGAAUAAUUCUUACGCUAGGUUAUACUUAUAACUGCAGUAGGUCUCUAAGGUAAAUAGCCUCUAGUUAAUAGAAUAAUAUAGAUAAGAGAAGUUAGCAAAACAGAUCUAUAACUUUAGGAUAAGGAUUAGCUCUAAGGGUUAGGUACGUUAGGCUUUAGGCGGACGGCCUGGGAGUAGGUCGCCACUAGCUAGGUAACUAGCUAGAGGCUUCUAGU
rnacentral:rRNA from 1 species